UCGAGGGCAGCCCCUGGCGGCGGGCGCAGCCGCUCCGGAAUCCGACUGAGUCCGCCGAGCCCUGGUGUCGCGGAGCUCCGGCCAGAGGGUUGGAAAGAAGGAGAGUGGAAGCGGAACUGGGACAUCAGUUUUGGAGCCGCUGAAGCCUUAUUUGAGCUACAGCAGAUCCAGCAUCAUCUGUCUUACCAGCGGCACCAGUGAAACUUCUGGCCAAGUGCAGGGCAGCCCCGUGCUAUGACACCAAAUGCCAAGCCAUCCUGCCCCUCUCUCCCCACCAUCUUACAGAGUCGAGGCACUGAGAGAUCAUCUAUGACAACACCUACUAUGAAAAGGAGCUCCAACUCUCCAAGGCCUACCAACAGGUUCAGGCAAAGACACAAUGCACACUGGUAAGUGACCUUUCCAUCUGGUUUGAUGAUGAGGUGAUGCACCAAAUUCCAGCUGGUAAAUUCAGACCUUCUGGUGGACCAAGGGACAUUUCAAUUUUAGGGGACUCUGUUAAUAGACCAGAUGGUCUGCAGGUACUUCUGGAAGUCCAAACUGUGGGACCAAGGGAUGAGAUUACAGUGACUGUCAUAUGUGUAGACCUGCCUUGGUUUUUGCCUAAGGGCACAUCCAUCACCCAAGUUUUUCCUCAUACGCACCUGGACUGACCUUUUGCUGGAAAUUGGUAUGGCUUUUUAGGCAGAGAUGGUAGGCCAGGACAGACGUCUUAUAGAGUGUGGCUUGUUUAACAAAGAGGAGAAAGUUUAUCUUCCAGGUGUGGCAGAUACCAGAGCAGAUGUGAUCAUCAUUGCCAUCCACAGGGCUGAGAGCUAGUGCCAGCCAAUGCAGUCAUCUCUGGGAUUGGAGGAACUGCCACCUCUAUGCGGACCAAACCCACAAUCCUUAUUAAACGUCCUGACGGUCAGAUUGCCACAGUAAGACCUUUUGUAGUAAGGCCACCUAUCAGCUUAUGGGGCAGGGACCUAUUGUCUUAAUGAGGGGCAAGGCUGAAAAUCCCCUCACCACCACAGGACUUUUAGCUGGGAGCGCUCCACCACACCACUCAUAUGGAAAACUGAUCAACCAGAGUGGAUUGACCAGUGGCCCCUCUCAGAAAUAGUUAAAGGUGCUCGAGUCCCUAGUGCAAGAGCAAUUGUCCAAGGGCCACAUAGUACCAUCCACUAGCCCUUGGAACACCCUUGUCUUUGUCAUUCAUAAACCACACAAAGACAAGUGGAGGCUUCUGCAAGACCUCAGGAUGGUCAAUGAGGUCAUUGAAGACAUGGGCUCUCUGCAGCCUGGCCUACUCUCAUCCUCAAUGCUCCUGAGAGAGUGGAAACUGGCAGUCAUUGAUAUCAGAGAUUGCUCUUUUAACAUCCCUCUCCAUCUCAGAGAUCCCCCAAGAUUUGCAUUUUCCAUCCCAUCAAUUAAAAGGCAAGCCCGUCUAAAAAGGUAUCAAUGGCAAGUUCUUCCCUGAGGGAUGAAAAAUUCUCCAGCUAUCUGCCAAAUGUUUGUUGCCCGCAUUCUCUUGUCUAUCCAAGAGAAAUCUCCUAAGUUUGGAAAUCAAUUUUGUACUAUAUGGAUGAUAUUGUAAUAUACACUGAGACUAAUAUUGGGAGAUUUGUUUUCAAAAAGACUAUUCAAGACAUUGAAGGAGCAGGAUUUGAAAUUGUUACAGAGAAGAUUCAACACACCUGCCCUUGGACCUACCUACCUUGGAUACUGGAUCAGCAAAAGGACUAUCGUACUCCAGCAACUCACCAUCAAGGACAGCCUGAGAACACUGAGAGACAUACACCAGUUAUGUGGGAGCAUAAACUGGGUUCGUCUGCUGCUAGGGAUCACGACCGAGGACCUCGCACUCCCUUUCAACCCCCUGUGAGGCUGUGGUGACCUUGACUUGCCAUGAACACCCGAGGCUCAGGUGGCAAUCUGAAAUGUAUCAGAGGCACUUUUCACAAUACAGGCCCACCACACUGAUCCUACCCUGCCUUUCCAAUUUGUCAUCUUAGGUAAGUCACCCAAAUUUCAUGGGCUCAUUUUCCAGUGGGACCCCACUCUGAGGGACCAGCUUUUAAUCAUAGAAUGGGUAUUCCAAUCACAUCAACCAAAUAAAGCUAAAACAAUACACCUAGGAACUGAUGGCUCAGCUCAUUAUAAAGGCCAGAGCAUCCCUCAGGAUCCUAGUGGGGUGUAAGUUCACAUGCAUUUACCUUCCACUGACAUUAGGUAGUCUGGAAGCUUUGCUCCAGACCUAUGAACACCUCCAGUUCACUCUUGACAGCUACCCAGGUCAAAUCUCUAUCCACCUACCAAAACAUUAAAACUAUUUAAUGCAUGUUUUAAUUUGGUCCCAAAAUCAUUAAAGAGUCAAACUCCUUUAAAGGCAAUGACUCUUUUUACUGAUGGCUCUGGAGAACCCCACAAGUCUGUUAUGACUUGGAAAAAUCCUGACACUCAGGAGUGGGAGUCCAAUGUCCAGGUUGUUCAGGGAUUCCCACAAAUUGCAGAAUUAGCAGUCAUCGUCAGAGUCUUUGAGAAGUUCAGACAACCCUUAAAUCUGGUUACGGAUUCAGCCUAUGUUGCUGGGAUAGCUGAAAGAGCAGAACAUUCUUUGUUAAAAGAGGUGUCAAAUCCAAAUAUAUAUAGCUUGCUCUCAAAGUUAGUUUAUCUCCUCUCUCCCACAAAGAGCAACCAUAUCACAUUAUGCACGUGAGGUCACACACCAGCCCCCAAAGACCAGUGACAGAGGGUAACUGGACAACUGGUACUUUGGCCAUGGCAGUGCAGACCACCCUGCCAGACAUCUUCUGUCAGGCAAAGUUGAGCCACCAGUUUUUCAACCAGAAUGUGCCAGCCCUUGUUUGUUUGUGUAAAAUCACAGGGGAGCAGGCGAGAGCAAUUGUGGGCUCCUGCCCCAAUUGCCAGGAUUAUGCUAUGCCAUCUAUGGGGACCAGGGUUAAUCCCUGGGGCCUCAAGAGUUUAAAACUGUGG